rnacentral:tRNA from 1 species
GGAGGCAUUGUGGCUCAGUGAUAGAAGAUCUGCUUGGCAUGCGUAAGGUCCCAGGUUCAAUCCCAGGCAUCUCCC